rnacentral:piRNA from 1 species
UGUAAAAUGGGGAACAUGCUCUCUGUGG